UGGGGAAUAUUGCACAAUGGGGGAAACCCUGAUGCAGCAACGCCGCGUGAAGGAAGAAGGGUUUCGGCUCGUAAACUUCUAUCGACGGGGAAGAAAAAAAUGACGGUACCCGAGUAAGAAGCACCGGCUAACUACGUGCCAGCAGCCGCGGUAAUACGUAGGGUGCAAGCGUUAUCCGGAUUUACUGGGUGUAAAGGGUGCGUAGGCGGCCAGUUAAGCCAUAUGUGAAAUGCGGGGGCUCAACCCCUGAACUGCAUAAGGAACUGACAGGCUAGAGUGCAGGAGAGGUAAGUGGAAUUCCUAGUGUAGCGGUGAAAUGCGUAGAUAUUAGGAGGAACACCAGUGGCGAAGGCGACUUACUGGACUGAAACUGACGCUGAGGCACGAAAGCGUGGGGAGCAAACAGGAUUAGAUACCCCCGUAGUCC
rnacentral:rRNA from 1 species